rnacentral:misc_RNA from 1 species
GAUGAAGAACGCAGCGAAAUGCGAUAAGUAGUGUGAAUUGCAGAAUUCAGUGAAUCAUCGAAUCUUUGAACGCACAUUGCGCCCUCUGGUAUUCCGGGGGGCAUGCCUGUUCGAGCGUCAUUAUAACCACUCAAGCUCUCGCUUGGUAUUGGGGUUCGCGGUUCCGCGGCCCCUAAAAUCAGUGGCGGUGCCUGUCGGCUCUACGCGUAGUAAUACUCCUCGCGUCUGGGUCCGGUAGGUCUACUUGCCAGCAACCCCCAAUUUUUACAGGUUGACCUCGGAUCAGGUAGGGAUACCCGCUGAACUUAAGCAUAUCAAUAGCGGAGGA